rnacentral:rRNA from 1 species
GCGCACGCUGGCGGCGUGCUUAACACAUGCCAGUCGAACGGAAAGGCCCUGCUUUUGUGGGGUGCUCGAGUGGCGAACGGGUGAGUAACACGUGAGUAACCUGCCCUUGACUUUGGGAUAACUUCAGGAAACUGGGGCUAAUACCGGAUAGGAGCUCCUGCUGCAUGGUGGGGGUUGGAAAGUUUCGGCGGUUGGGGAUGGACUCGCGGCUUAUCAGCUUGUUGGUGGGGUAGUGGCUUACCAAGGCUUUGACGGGUAGCCGGCCUGAGAGGGUGACCGGCCACAUUGGGACUGAGAUACGGCCCAGACUCCUACGGGAGGCAGCAGUGGGGAAUAUUGCACAAUGGGCGGAAGCCUGAUGCAGCAACGCCGCGUGCGGGAUGACGGCCUUCGGGUUGUAAACCGCUUUCGCCUGUGACGAAGCGUGAGUGACGGUAAUAGGUAAAGAAGCACCGGCUAACUACGUG